GAUGAACGCUGGCGGCGUGCCUAAUACAUGCAAGUCGAGCGAACAGACGAGGAGCUUGCUCCUCUGACGUUAGCGGCGGACGGGUGAGUAACACGUGGAUAACCUACCUAUAAGACUGGGAUAACUUCGGGAAACCGGAGCUAAUACCGGAUAAUAUAUUGAACCGCAUGGUUCAAUAGUGAAAGACGGUUUUGCUGUCACUUAUAGAUGGAUCCGCGCCGCAUUAGCUAGUUGGUAAGGUAACGGCUUACCAAGGCGACGAUGCGUAUCCGACCUGAGAGGGUGAUCGGCCACACUGGAACUGAGACACGGUCCAGACUCCUACGGGAGGCAGCAGUAGGGAAUCUUCCGCAAUGGGCGAAAGCCUGACGGAGCAACGCCGCGUGAGUGAUGAAGGUCUUCGGAUCGUAAAACUCUGUUAUUAGGGAAGAACAAAUGUGUAAGUAACUAUGCACGUCUUGACGGUACCUAAUCAGAAAGCCACGGCUAACUACGUG
rnacentral:rRNA from 1 species